UACGUAGGGUGCAAGCGUUGUCCGGAAUUAUUGGGCGUAAAGAGCUCGUAGGCGGUUUGUCGCGUCUGCCGUGAAAGUCCGGGCUCAACUCCGGAUCUGCGGUGGGUACGGGCAGACUAGAGUGAUGUAGGGGAGACUGGAAUUCCUGGUGUAGCGGUGAAAUGCGCAGAUAUCAGGAGGAACACCGAUGGCGAAAGGCAGGUCUCUGGGCAUUAACUGACGCUGAGGAGCGAAAGCAUGGGGAGCGAACAGG
rnacentral:rRNA from 1 species